UACGUAGGUGGCAAGCGUUAUCCGGAAUUAUUGGGCGUAAAGCGCGCGUAGGCGGUUUUUUAAGUCUGAUGUGAAAGCCCACGGCUCAACCGUGGAGGGUCAUUGGAAACUGGAAAACUUGAGUGCAGAAGAGGAAAGUGGAAUUCCAUGUGUAGCGGUGAAAUGCGCAGAGAUAUGGAGGAACACCAGUGGCGAAGGCGACUUUCUGGUCUGUAACUGACGCUGAUGUGCGAAAGCGUGGGGAUCAAACAGGAUUAGAUACCCUGGUAGUCCACGCCGUAAACGAUGAGUGCUAAGUGUUAGGGGGUUUCCGCCCCUUAGUGCUGCAGCUAACGCAUUAAGCACUCCGCCUGGGGAGUACGACCGCAAGGUUGAA
rnacentral:rRNA from 1 species